rnacentral:lncRNA from 1 species
ACACAGAGAAACUGGCAGAAAAUGAAUCCAUGGAGAUUUUGACAAGACCCCUCUAAGCAAGAUCUAAAGACAACAUCAGAUGGAGUUGUCUGUGGAUUAUGAGGAUGCAGCAUUCAAGGUUCUAUCUUGGAAGCAGAGACUGUGCCCUCACCAGAUGCUGAACCUGCUGAGCACCCUGAUCUUCCACUUCACCUUCAUCAGAACUACUGCUGUGAUUGCACCUGCCAUCUUAUGCAGAAAUGACCUGAAGACAGACUGAAACAACGUGUUCUACAGCCUGAAAAUAUCUACCUUGACUUACAGUUUUAUUAAUGCUGGUGUGAUCAGACUGGACAAAAAUUAGCAUAUGUUAUUAACUGAUCUAAUUCAAGUGCCAAUUCUUAAUAGAAACACAAAACAAUAAAAGCAAUUCAGAAAAUAUUUACUAUUUGAUUUCUUCAAGCUCCAAACAGGCUUGUGCUUAGCUGUAGAAACUUGAAUAUAUACAAAUCUACAUGGAUAGAAUUCUUAGUCUUCUUUGGGCCAGGUGUGUUAGCCCCUUGGGAAAGGAUAAAGUUUUGGAAUAUAUUUUUAUUCAUGAACCUGCUCUCUUUAAGACUUCUGAGGAAAAGAGCUGCUGGGCAGAUGAGUAGAAUAUGUUACUACUGUUCCGACAUGUCUACCCAUCAAAACUAGCUGAUACAGUACACUUUAAUGACCCUUCUAUAGUCAAAACUGACAUUGACAUUGACAUUAACAGAAAAGAUUUGGGACAAAGAACUGUGUUCAUGCAGCAAAUCAGCCUCAAACUUCACCACAAGCUGCACAUUUUAUGCUACUGUAUUCUGCUUAAGCACUUAUUUGUAUUUAUGUAAACUGAAUGAUCCUUUAAUACUUAAGGACUUUAUUCUGGGUGAGUUAGAAUCACACUGUUUUGGCAGGAAAACUCUUUGAUAGGAAAAACUGUAUGGCUUGAUAAUUUAAGAGCUAAAAGUAGCCAAAUCAGGAACUACUGAAAUUCUUCAGUAUCUGUUAGAAUAUCUCCUGUUUGAGCCAUGUUUGUAAAUGAUGUUCAAAGGCAUUUCAAAAGCAUGUAAAUUAAAAAAACAAUUCAUU